AUUGAACGCUGGCGGCAUGCCUUACACAUGCAAGUCGAACGGCAGCAUGAUCUAGCUUGCUAGAUUGAUGGCGAGUGGCGAACGGGUGAGUAAUACAUCGGAACGUGCCCUGUAGUGGGGGAUAACUAGUCGAAAGAUUAGCUAAUACCGCAUACGACCUGAGGGUGAAAGUGGGGGACCGCAAGGCCUCAUGCUAUAGGAGCGGCCGAUGUCUGAUUAGCUAGUUGGUGGGGUAAAGGCCCACCAAGGCGACGAUCAGUAGCUGGUCUGAGAGGACGAUCAGCCACACUGGGACUGAGACACGGCCCAGACUCCUACGGGAGGCAGCAGUGGGGAAUUUUGGACAAUGGGGGCAACCCUGAUCCAGCAAUGCCGCGUGUGUGAAGAAGGCCUUCGGGUUGUAAAGCACUUUUGUCCGGAAAGAAAUCGCACUUACUAAUAUUAGGUGCGGAUGACGGUACCGGAAGAAUAAGGACCGGCUAACUACGUG
rnacentral:rRNA from 1 species